rnacentral:rRNA from 1 species
GAUGAACGCUGGCGGCGUGCCUAAUACAUGCCAGUCGAGCGAACAGACGAGGAGCUUGCUCCUCUGACGUUAGCGGCGGACGGGUGAGUAACACGUGGAUAACCUACCUAUAAGACUGGGAUAACUUCGGGAAACCGGAGCUAAUACCGGAUAAUAUAUUGAACCGCAUGGUUCAAUAGUGAAAGACGGUUUUGCUGUCACUUAUAGAUGGAUCCGCGCCGCAUUAGAUAGUUGGUAAGGUAACGGCUUACCAAGGCAACGAUGCGUAGCCGACCUGAGAGGGGGAUCGGCCACACUGGAACUGAGACACGGUCCAGACUCCUACGGGAGGCAGCAGUAGGGAAUCUUCCGCAAUGGGCGAAAGCUUGACGGAGCAACGCCGCGUGAGUGAUGAAGGUCUUCGGAUCGUAAAACUCUGUUAUUAGGGAAGAACAAAUGUGUAAGUAACUAUGCACGUCUUGACGGUACCUAAUCAGAAAGCCACGGCUAACUACGUG